rnacentral:tRNA from 1 species
GGAGAGGUGUCCGAGUGGUUGAUGGUGCCGCUCUCGAAAAGCGGUGUGCGGUUCUCCCGCACCGUGGGUUCGAAUCCCACCCUCUCCG